CACCAUCUGUUUCUCCCUGUGGUGUCCCACCACGGUCAGUGCCCACAUCCACCUACAAACAGAACCAUUGCUGGUGAAAAAAAGUGCCCUAACAUCAGCAGACCAAUGUGACUUUUCUCUCAUGCUUUGUUCGAUUUUGAUGCUCUGAGACACGAGGAUAUGAUUACUACUUUCAGGAAUCCUCAGAAAAUGCAACUGUGUCCAAGGUACUUGGAAGAGGAUUCAUGUAUUACUGCCUCAUAGACGUUGCAAAUAAUGUGUCAUUAAGAUGAAAUGAUGCAGAGCUUCAGAAGUUGUCACAUUUUUGUCUAAGGAGACAACGAAAAAAAAAAUUUUUGAAGUAUUUGGCCAUGAAAAAAAUAGGGGGAAAUGCGAAGAAAUGCCAAUAGGGGGGAGUAUACCUCUAAAUGCAAAGACAUUUGUCUAAGUCACAGCUCAAAUACGAGCAGAAAAUCAAACACUUCCUGGUCUAGCCUUACUUGGUGAUGAUGAUCACUUCUCAGAAAUUUUGAGGGCCAAGUAUGGUCAUAGAACUAUGAUAUUUGGUUUAGUCACUUAC